rnacentral:rRNA from 1 species
UACGAAGGGGGCUAGCGUUGCUCGGAAUCACUGGGCGUAAAGCGCACGUAGGCGGCUUCUUAAGUCAGGGGUGAAAUCCUGGAGCUCAACUCCAGAACUGCCUUUGAUACUGAGAGCUUGAGUCCGGGAGAGGUGAGUGGAACUGCGAGUGUAGAGGUGAAAUUCGUAGAUAUUCGCAAGAACACCAGUGGCGAAGGCGGCUCACUGGCCCGGUACUGACGCUGAGGUGCGAAAGCGUGG